rnacentral:rRNA from 1 species
CCUACGGGGGGCAGCAGUGAGGAAUAUUGGUCAAUUUUCUCUAUCCUUAACCAUCCAAUUAUCUUUAAUUAUUACUUCCCUACUUUUUUUCCCCUUCUUUUCUCCAUUCAUACCGUGAGGCACGUGUGCCUUUUUGUAUGUACUUUAUGAAUAAGGAUCGGCUAACUCCGUGCCAGCAGCCGCGGUAAUACGGAGGAUCCGAGCGUUAUCCGGAUUUAUUGGGUUUAAAGGGAGCGUAGAUGGGUUGUUAAGUCAGUUGUGAAAGUUUGCGGCUCAACCGUAAAAUUGCAAUUGAUACUGGCAGCCUUGAGUACAGUUGAGGUAGGCGGAAUUCGUGGUGUAGCGGUGAAAUGCUUAGAUAUCACGAAGAACUCCGAUUGCGAAGGCAGCCUACUAAACUGCCACUGACAUUGAUGCUCGAAAGUGUGGGUAUCAAACAGGAUUAGAUACCCGGGUAGUC